GGCCAGGGGGAUUCCUGGUGGAGUGAUUCCGUGACAUUCUGAACCCAAUCACAUUGCCAGGGAUUUCCAAUGGC
rnacentral:pre_miRNA from 1 species